GCGUGCUUUCUUAAAGAUUUCCUUUCAACCUUUCAUGGUAUGAGUUGAAAAUGUCUAUGUUGACAUUAAGUAGAUAAUGUUUAGUAGCUUAAAAUUAUAGACGUUGGUAAUAAUAUUGAAACAAUGUCUGGUGGAGGUAUAGCUGUAUCUGUUUCGAAUGAAAAUGAUUCCUUAUCAUUCGAAGAAUACAAAAAUUACCGCUCCCAACACCCGGGACCUCUCUCAGAGAGGUCCUUCAAAAUAUGGAAAGAUCAUGGCGGAAUGGAAGAGCACUCCUAUGGACUCCUGAGAGCACUCCUGGAUACCACCUUAAGGUGGUAUCCAGCCAUUAGUUCUAUUUUUUUAUAUUUUACACAUAGUAAAUACCUAUGAUGAAUUACUAGCAUAAUAGAUAAAAAUCUAAAACGUAAUGCAAUUUUUUUUUUUAAUUAAUAAAAAAUAAUUGCUGACUCAGCAAAAAAAGGUGAAAAUGUUAAGGUCACAAGAACAUAAAUAUCUUCAGAAUAAAUCAAUAUUAAAGGUUUAAAUUUUGCAAAAAGCUAGUACACUAGUGUAGCUAAUGCCUGAACCAAAAAUUUUUGAAAAAAAUUUAAACAAUCAAAAAUGGCAGACUUAAUGAUAUAAAAAACUAUUUUUUAGCGAUAAAACACUAAUUAGAUAUGGUAAAUGUAAGUUAAGCUUAAUUUUUUAAAAUGUUUUUUCAGGUUCAGGCACUAAAAACAUCAAUAAUGAACAUAUCCUGAAAAUUUGAAGCUAAAAUAAUUUUUUUUAUUGAGAUAUCAUUGUUUUGCUACAGCUACCCGUACAAAAAACAAAAAUUGAGAAAAAUCAAUUUUAAAAUUAUAAAUCAUGUAUACUACUCAGAUAAAUCAUUAAAAACCACCAGCACAAUAAUAUUUUGCAGUUUCUUUAUCUAAUUUUUG